rnacentral:rRNA from 1 species
AUAUGGGGGGACCAUCCUCCAAGGCUAAAUACUCCUGACUGACCGAUAGUGAACCAGUACCGUGAGGGAAAGGCGAAAAGAACCCCGGCGAGGGGAGUGAAAAAGAACCUGAAACCGUGUACGUACAAGCAGUGGGAGCACAGGUUUACCUGUGUGACUGCGUACCUUUUGUAUAAUGGGUCAGCGACUUAUAUUCUGUAGCAAGGUUAACCGAAUAGGGGAGCCGGAGGGAAACCGAGUCUUAAUUGGGCGUUAAGUUGCAGGGUAUAGACCCGAAACCCGGUGAUCUAGCCAUGGGCAGGUUGAAGGUUGGGUAACACUAACUGGAGGACCGAACCGACUAAUGUUGAAAAAUUAGCGGAUGACCUGUGGCUGGGGGUGAAAGGCCAAUCAAACCGGGAGAUAGCUGGUUCUCCCCGAAAGCUAUUUAGGUAGCGCCUCGUGAAUUCAUCUCCGGGGGUAGAGCACUGUUUCGGCUAGGGGGCCAUCCCGGCUUACCAACCCGAUGCAAACUGCGAAUACCGGAGAAUGUUAUCACGGGAGACACACGGCGGGUGCUAACGUCCGUCGUGAAGAGGGAAACAACCCAGACCGCCAGCUAAGGUCCCAAAGUCAUGGUUAAGUGGGAAACGAUGUGGGAAGGCCCAGACAGCCAGGAUGUUGGCUUAGAAGCAGCCAUCAUUUAAAGAAAGCGUAAUAGCUCACUGGUCGAGUCGGCCUGCGCGGAAGAUGUAACGGGGCUAAACCAUGCACCGAAGCUGCGGCAGCGACACUGUGUGUUGUUGGGUAGGGGAGCGUUCUGUAAGCCUGUGAAGGUGUGUCGUGAGGCAUGCUGGAGGUAUCAGAAGUGCGAAUGCUGACAUAAGUAACGAUAAAGCGGGUGAAAAGCCCGCUCGCCGGAAGACCAAGGGUUCCUGUCCAACGUUAAUCGGGGCAGGGUGAGUCGACCCCUAAGGCGAGGCCGAAAGGCGUAGUCGAUGGGAAACGGGUUAAUAUUCCCGUACUUGGUGUUACUGCGAAGGGGGGACGGAGAAGGCUAUGUUGGCCGGGCGACGGUUGUCCCGGUUUAAGCGUGUAGGUGUGUGUUCCAGGUAAAUCCGGUUCACUUUAACACUGAGGCGUGACGACGAGGCACUACGGUGCUGAAGCAACAAAUGCCCUGCUUCCAGGAAAAGCCUCUAAGCAUCAGGUAACAUCAAAUCGUACCCCAAACCGACACAGGUGGUCAGGUAGAGAAUACCAAGGCGCUUGAGAGAACUCGGGUGAAGGAACUAGGCAAAAUGGUGCCGUAACUUCGGGAGAAGGCACGCUGACACGUAGGUGAAGUGAUUUACUCAUGGAGCUGAAGUCAGUCGAAGAUACCAGCUGGCUGCAACUGUUUAUUAAAAACACAGCACUGUGCAAACACGAAAGUGGACGUAUACGGUGUGACGCCUGCCCGGUGCCGGAAGGUUAAUUGAUGGGGUCAGCGCAAGCGAAGCUCCUGAUCGAAGCCCCGGUAAACGGCGGCCGUAACUAUAACGGUCCUAAGGUAGCGAAAUUCCUUGUCGGGUAAGUUCCGACCUGCACGAAUGGCGUAAUGAUGGCCAGGCUGUCUCCACCCGAGACUCAGUGAAAUUGAACUCGCUGUGAAGAUGCAGUGUACCCGCGGCAAGACGGAAAGACCCCGUGAACCUUUACUAUAGCUUGACACUGAACAUUGAGCCUUGAUGUGUAGGAUAGGUGGGAGGCUUUGAAGUGUGGACGCCAGUCUGCAUGGAGCCGACCUUGAAAUACCACCCUUUAAUGUUUGAUGUUCUAACGUGGACCCGUUACCCGGGUUGCGGACAGUGUCUGGUGGGUAGUUUGACUGGGGCGGUCUCCUCCUAAAGAGUAACGGAGGAGCACGAAGGUUGGCUAAUCCUGGUCGGACAUCAGGAGGUUAGUGCAAUGGCAUAAGCCAGCUUGACUGCGAGCGUGACGGCGCGAGCAGGUGCGAAAGCAGGUCAUAGUGAUCCGGUGGUUCUGAAUGGAAGGGCCAUCGCUCAACGGAUAAAAGGUACUCCGGGGAUAACAGGCUGAUACCGCCCAAGAGUUCAUAUCGACGGCGGUGUUUGGCACCUCGAUGUCGGCUCAUCACAUCCUGGGGCUGAAGUAGGUCCCAAGGGUAUGGCUGUUCGCCAUUUAAAGUGGUACGCGAGCUGGGUUUAGAACGUCGUGAGACAGUUCGGUCCCUAUCUGCCGUGGGCGCUGGAGAACUGAGGGGGGCUGCUCCUAGUACGAGAGGACCGGAGUGGACGCAUCACUGGUGUUCGGGUUGUCAUGCCAAUGGCACUGCCCGGUAGCUAAAUGCGGAAGAGAUAAGUGCUGAAAGCAUCUAAGCACGAAACUUGCCCCGAG